UCCAGACUCCUACGGGAGGCAGCAGUGGGGAAUAUUGCACAAUGGGGGAAACCCUGAUGCAGCGACGCCGCGUGAGUGAAGAAGUAUUUCGGUAUGUAAAGCUCUAUCAGCAGGGAAGAAAAUGACGGUACCUGACUAAGAAGCCCCGGCUAACUACGUGCCAGCAGCCGCGGUAAUACGUAGGGGGCAAGCGUUAUCCGGAUUUACUGGGUGUAAAGGGAGCGUAGACGGCGGAACAAGUCAGAAGUGAAAACCCGGGGCUCAACCCUGGGAGUGCUUUUGAAACUGUUUGGCUGGAGUGCAGGAGAGGUAAGCGGAAUUCCUAGUGUAGCGGUGAAAUGCGUAGAUAUUAGGAGGAACACCGGCGGCGAAGGCGGCCUGCUGGACCGUGACUGACGUUGAGGCUCGAGAGCGUGGGGAGCAAACAGGAUUAGAUACCCUUGUA
rnacentral:rRNA from 1 species